rnacentral:rRNA from 1 species
AGAGUUUGAUCAUGGCUCAGAACGAACGCUGGCGGCAUGCCUAACACAUGCAAGUCGAACGAAGCCUUCGGGCUUAGUGGCGCACGGGUGCGUAACGCGUGGGAAUCUGCCCUUGGGUUCGGAAUAACAGUUAGAAAUGACUGCUAAUACCGAAUGAUGUCUUCGGACCAAAGAUUUAUCGCCCAAGGAUGAGCCCGCGUCGGAUUAGCUAGUUGGUGAGGUAAAGGCUCACCAAGGCGACGAUCCGUAGCUGGUCUGAGAGGAUGAUCAGCCACACUGGGACUGAGACACGGCCCAGACUCCUACGGGAGGCAGCAGUGGGGAAUAUUGGACAAUGGGCGAAAGCCUGAUCCAGCAAUGCCGCGUGAGUGAUGAAGGCCUUAGGGUUGUAAAGCUCUUUUACCCAGGAUGAUAAUGACAGUACCGGGAGAAUAAGCCCCGGCUAACUCCGUG